rnacentral:rRNA from 1 species
GACGAACGCUGGCGGCGUGCUUAACACAUGCAAGUCGAACGGUGAAGCGCCUUCCUUUUUGGUGGGUGUGGAUGAGUGGCGAACGGGUGAGUAACACGUGAGUAACCUGCCCCCUUCUUCUGGAUAACCGCAUGAAAGUGUGGCUAAUACGGGAUAUUCUGGGUCUGUCGCAUGAUGGGUCUGGGAAAGAUAUUGUUUCGGUGGGGGAUGGGCUCGCGGCCUAUCAGCUUGUUGGUGGGGUGAUGGCCUACCAAGGCGGUGACGGGUAGCCGGCCUGGGAGGGUGGACGGUCACACUGGGACUGAGACACGGCCCAGACUCCGACGGGAGGCAGCAGGGGGGAAUAUUGCACAAUGGGCGCAAGCCUGAUGCAGCGACGCCGCGUGAGGGAUGGAGGCCUUCGGGUUGUGAACCUCUUUCGCCAGUGAAGCAGGCCUGCCUCGUUUGUGGGUGGGUUGACGGUAGCUGGAGAAGAAGCGCCGGCUAACUACGUG